AGAAGUGGAUGCAGAGGCUGGGCAUAAGGCGGCAUUUCCCAGAGGAAGCAGUGAUUCCAUGCCAGCCUCUGCUGCAGGAAGAGAGGCGAUGCCAGGCACAGGCACAGGAGAUGAGGUGUCUGGGAAGGCUUCUCCAUCAGCUUGGAUGAAUAAAAUUUUGAAGCCCUUGGAGCCUCCUGCAGAUGUGUCUACAGGGAAGACUUCUCCAGCUCCUACCAUGGAUGUUACACUAAAGCCCAGCUCCCGUCACAGUGGUGAGUAGUGUGUCCCUGCUGACCCCACAGGCUGAACCCUGCUUUUCUGGGAUCCAUUCCUGGCAAAUGGAAAUAUUUUUCUCUAAGGUACUCCAACAGGGAAAAUCCAAGAUACAACAGAUAAGAUAUCCCUGGAACCAUCCAAACAGAUGAGGCAAGAGCUGAAGGAACCCCUGCAGAGAA